rnacentral:rRNA from 1 species
UAAGGAAUAUUGGACAAUGGACGCAAGUCUGAUCCAGCCAUGCCGCGUGAAGGAUGAAUGCCCUCUGGGUUGUAAACUUCUUUUAUAGGGGAAGAAAGAUACUUUUUUUAAGGUAGUUGACGGUACCCUAUGAAUAAGCACCGGCUAACUCCGUGCCAGCAGCCGCGGUAAUACGGAGGGUGCAAGCGUUAUCCGGAUUUACUGGGUUUAAAGGGUGCGUAGGCGGGCAUGUAAGUCAGUGGUGAAAUACCGGAGCUUAACUUCGGAACUGCCAUUGCUACUAUAUGUCUUGAAUAUUGUGGAGGUAAGCGGAAUAUGUCAUGUAGCGGUGAAAUGCAUAGAUAUGACAUAGAACACCGAUUGCGGAGGCAGCUUGCUACGCAAAUAUUGACGCUGAGGCACGAAAGCGUGGGAAUCAAACA